UAUCUCUUGCCUUCCCAUCUCCCUCGCGGUUUUCCUUAGGUCUUCACUGUCCACGACCUUUCAAGACUGCACAUUAUCAACACCUUGAGUGAUAACUCACGGCAUUCGUACAACACGAACAGCAGACGGCGCAUGCUGGUAGAGGCAGGGACUCUACUGAGCACACAGCACUACAUUUCUGGCUCGAGAAAUCAAACCUCGUGGCCAGUCUAGGAAUUACUCAUGCUCUGGAAAGAUACAGCCCAACCUUCUGUAGGCUGACAUUCUUUAUGGAUGCACAGAGAGUUACAUAUUCUUUUGACAUUUGAUAAAGGCAUUUUCAAAAAGCAUUUUCCUUUGGCUAGUUUCUAGUGCUUUCUCCUUCCGUCUUUAUCCACUUUGGGUGAUUCCUUUUUAAGAUGUCAAAGGCAAUAGAUGUCAGGAUAAGAGUUUGAAAGGGACUAGAGGAAUCGCGCCCUUUGACUCUGCUUAGAAUUCCCUCUGCUGAUCUAUGUCACUAGCAUCUACUCAUCCUGAAGACCCAGCCCAAGCACCAGUUCCUGGGAGAAUCGCUCCCCAACUCUGCAGUCUCUGUUCGCCGGGGCUCCUCUGAGCUUCCGCAGCCCUCUCCAGCCUCCAUCACCUCAUCUUCCCCUGUAGGCCGCAGAGCUCUGGAUGGCGAGUCCUGGACUUUUCCUAUCUCUACCCCCAGUGCAGUACCUGCCACACAGUAUUUGUUAAGUGAACAACUGAGGGAGUCAAUGAAUGGAUGCAUGGAUGGAUAUUCGGAGAAGGAAAGGUCUUUCAAAGGGAGAAAGAAGUAAAGAGGAGAGGGUUGACGAGAGACUUACAGGGAGAGGUCAACAUGGGCCACCCAGAUUGGUUGGCCCCACAGUUGGACUAGUUAAGUUCACUCCAUUUUCCCCAAUACCAGGUAACAAGGUUUCUACUCCCUCAUGCAACCACACAUUUUUCUCCAGGCUGAAUAUUUUAGAAAAUACAUUUGUCUGGGAUGGUAGCUAUUUUUUGAGUUUUAUGUUUGCAUGCAUAGUCGUUCUGUUCUACUAGACACAGUUUACCGCCAUUAUGCAAUAAGUCUUUCACUUCUUCAGAAACAUAUCGUCUAUUUUUACAGUUCCCACUCUCUGUGGUGAAUGUUAAAGUCCCAGAAGGAGCAUGCAGAGAAAGUAAGGAUUUAUGUACCAGCCACGCUACUGCUCAGGGGUUCAGAGUGUUUCCUUCAUGGUUUUGCAGGUGACAUAGACGGUAGGAACUCAUUUAACUUACGCUUGACCCGAACGUCCUAAUGAGAACAUGAUCUUUGUCUCAUUAAAGUGGGCAUUCUUUAUAGCUGGAGGCUUGAAGGUUUGGAUUUCUAUACAGCAGAAAAAAUAAAUUUCUCCUCUCUAUCCCUCCA
rnacentral:lncRNA from 1 species